rnacentral:misc_RNA from 1 species
ACUGAUGAGCCGUUGCUGAACUUUGGCAGGGAUAGACGUUCGUUUGCAAAGAUUGAGAAACCUUAUAUGGAAGAUCCUUUUAUGAAAGAUUUUGGAGCCUCUAGUUUUGAUGGACGAGAUCCUUUUACUGCUGGUCUUGUUGGGGUGGUUAAGAGGAAGAAGGAUGCGAUUAAGCAGACUGAUUUCCAUGACCCUGUUAGGGAAUCUUUUGAGGCUGAACUUG